CUUAAUGUGGCAGAUUAGUGCAAUGAAUUUAAGCUUCAUGUAUAGAAAUUAUUUUCUCAUUAAGA
rnacentral:tRNA from 1 species